rnacentral:rRNA from 1 species
UUAAGCGACUAAGCGUACACGGUGGAUGCCCUGGCAGUCAGAGGCGAUGAAGGACGUGUUAAUCUGCGAUAAGCGUCGGUAAGGUGAUAUGAACCGUUAUAACCGGCGAUUUCCGAAUGGGGAAACCCAGUGUGAUUCGUCACACUAUCAUUAACUGAAUCCAUAGGUUAAUGAGGCGAACCGGGGGAACUGAAACAUCUAAGUACCCCGAGGAAAAGAAAUCAACCGAGAUUCCCCCAGUAGCGGCGAGCGAACGGGGAGCAGCCCAGAGCCUGAAUCAGUGUGUGUGUUAGUGGAAGCGUCUGGAAAGGCGCGCGAUACAGGGUGACAGCCCCGUACACAAAAAUGCACAUAUUGUGAGCUCGAUGAGUAGGGCGGGACACGUGGUAUCCUGUCUGAAUAUGGGGGGACCAUCCUCCAAGGCUAAAUACUCCUGACUGACCGAUAGUGAACCAGUACCGUGAGGGAAAGGCGAAAAGAACCCCGGCGAGGGGAGUGAAAAAGAACCUGAAACCGUGUACGUACAAGCAGUGGGAGCACGCUUAGGCGUGUGACUGCGUACCUUUUGUAUAAUGGGUCAGCGACUUAUAUUCUGUAGCAAGGUUAACCGAAUAGGGGAGCCGAAGGGAAACCGAGUCUUAACUGGGCGUUAAGUUGCAGGGUAUAGACCCGAAACCCGGUGAUCUAGCCAUGGGCAGGUUGAAGGUUGGGUAACACUAACUGGAGGACCGAACCGACUAAUGUUGAAAAAUUAGCGGAUGACUUGUGGCUGGGGGUGAAAGGCCAAUCAAACCGGGAGAUAGCUGGUUCUCCCCGAAAGCUAUUUAGGUAGCGCCUCGUGAAUUCAUCUCCGGGGGUAGAGCACUGUUUCGGCAAGGGGGUCAUCCCGACUUACCAACCCGAUGCAAACUGCGAAUACCGGAGAAUGUUAUCACGGGAGACACACGGCGGGUGCUAACGUCCGUCGUGAAGAGGGAAACAACCCAGACCGCCAGCUAAGGUCCCAAAGUCAUGGUUAAGUGGGAAACGAUGUGGGAAGGCCCAGACAGCCAGGAUGUUGGCUUAGAAGCAGCCAUCAUUUAAAGAAAGCGUAAUAGCUCACUGGUCGAGUCGGCCUGCGCGGAAGAUGUAACGGGGCUAAACCAUGCACCGAAGCUGCGGCAGCGACACUAUGUGUUGUUGGGUAGGGGAGCGUUCUGUAAGCCUGUGAAGGUGUACUGUGAGGUAUGCUGGAGGUAUCAGAAGUGCGAAUGCUGACAUAAGUAACGAUAAAGCGGGUGAAAAGCCCGCUCGCCGGAAGACCAAGGGUUCCUGUCCAACGUUAAUCGGGGCAGGGUGAGUCGACCCCUAAGGCGAGGCCGAAAGGCGUAGUCGAUGGGAAACAGGUUAAUAUUCCUGUACUUGGUGUUACUGCGAAGGGGGGACGGAGAAGGCUAUGUUGGCCGGGCGACGGUUGUCCCGGUUUAAGCGUGUAGGCUGGUUUUCCAGGCAAAUCCGGAAAAUCAAGGCUGAGGCGUGAUGACGAGGCACUACGGUGCUGAAGCAACAAAUGCCCUGCUUCCAGGAAAAGCCUCUAAGCAUCAGGUAACAUCAAAUCGUACCCCAAACCGACACAGGUGGUCAGGUAGAGAAUACCAAGGCGCUUGAGAGAACUCGGGUGAAGGAACUAGGCAAAAUGGUGCCGUAACUUCGGGAGAAGGCACGCUGAUAUGUAGGUGAAGUCCCUCGCGGAUGGAGCUGAAAUCAGUCGAAGAUACCAGCUGGCUGCAACUGUUUAUUAAAAACACAGCACUGUGCAAACACGAAAGUGGACGUAUACGGUGUGACGCCUGCCCGGUGCCGGAAGGUUAAUUGAUGGGGUUAGCGCAAGCGAAGCUCUUGAUCGAAGCCCCGGUAAACGGCGGCCGUAACUAUAACGGUCCUAAGGUAGCGAAAUUCCUUGUCGGGUAAGUUCCGACCUGCACGAAUGGCGUAAUGAUGGCCAGGCUGUCUCCACCCGAGACUCAGUGAAAUUGAACUCGCUGUGAAGAUGCAGUGUACCCGCGGCAAGACGGAAAGACCCCGUGAACCUUUACUAUAGCUUGACACUGAACAUUGAGCCUUGAUGUGUAGGAUAGGUGGGAGGCUUUGAAGUGUGGACGCCAGUCUGCAUGGAGCCGACCUUGAAAUACCACCCUUUAAUGUUUGAUGUUCUAACGUUGACCCGUGAUCCGGGUUGCGGACAGUGUCUGGUGGGUAGUUUGACUGGGGCGGUCUCCUCCUAAAGAGUAACGGAGGAGCACGAAGGUUGGCUAAUCCUGGUCGGACAUCAGGAGGUUAGUGCAAUGGCAUAAGCCAGCUUGACUGCGAGCGUGACGGCGCGAGCAGGUGCGAAAGCAGGUCAUAGUGAUCCGGUGGUUCUGAAUGGAAGGGCCAUCGCUCAACGGAUAAAAGGUACUCCGGGGAUAACAGGCUGAUACCGCCCAAGAGUUCAUAUCGACGGCGGUGUUUGGCACCUCGAUGUCGGCUCAUCACAUCCUGGGGCUGAAGUAGGUCCCAAGGGUAUGGCUGUUCGCCAUUUAAAGUGGUACGCGAGCUGGGUUUAGAACGUCGUGAGACAGUUCGGUCCCUAUCUGCCGUGGGCGCUGGAGAACUGAGGGGGGCUGCUCCUAGUACGAGAGGACCGGAGUGGACGCAUCACUGGUGUUCGGGUUGUCAUGCCAAUGGCACUGCCCGGUAGCUAAAUGCGGAAGAGAUAAGUGCUGAAAGCAUCUAAGCACGAAACUUGCCCCGAGAUGAGUUCUCCCUGACCCUUUAAGGGUCCUGAAGGAACGUUGAAGACGACGACGUUGAUAGGCCGGGUGUGUAAGCGCAGCGAUGCGUUGAGCUAACCGGUACUAAUGAACCGUGAGGCUUAACCUU